UAUGCGCCUGCGCAGACUGAGCCGCGAGCGCGGGGCGGGGAAGCUCAAUGGGACGCCGGCUUCACCCAGUUCCUUUCACGGCACCGGUAACUUGUUGCGCAGGUGUAGACAGUGAGCGCCUUGGGGCCGGCCUAUCCCGGCGCCACCUCGGUGCCCGGAGCCCAGCAGGUAGCCAGGAUUUGUAAAUCUUUGCCUCAGGAUAUUUUCUAAGACGGGAAGUCCUUUUGUGCAAGCCUAACCUAUGGGUGGAAAAUUCAAAUGACUGCAGGAGGCGGGCAGGAACUUCAGUGAAGUGACCCAGGUGUGGCAUCGCUGGAUAUGCAUUCCUCACAUAAAAA